AUCGUGGAUAAACUGAACGAUAUACUUUGCCAAGGUUACACAACAAAAAUAGUUCAGUGUAAUAAAACAAACCAUGGAUAAUUGUUUUCUUAGAGGGAUAUUGAUAUAUAUAAACCUCAUUCCAGUUAUUGCAAAGCUGUCAAUAACAAUGCAUAAAGUUGACAUUACUCAUGUUCUGGAAGAGCCAGUUAAAGUAUUUGUACGGAGAUCACCUCCUCCUAAUCUGCAUUUCUGACAGAAGCAACGCGACAAUCUCCUGGGUCAGAAAACACGUUGUUGCGGUAAACAGCACUUAACAAUAGAUAACGUUCGUCUAGCAGAUACAGGAAUGUAUUUGUGUACAAGUAUAAGUUAGAUGUUAGUUGAGACGCAGAAUGUUUCUGUAAUAGUUCUUUAUCCGCCAUCUUACCCUGACAUUGAAGGGACAACCUCAGGACUCAUAGGCGAGGAAGUAACCCUAAAAUGCAUUUCAAAUGCAAAUCCUCCGCCGACGUAUCAGUGGAAGCGUUUUAACCAGAAUGGUGUUGUUCUGUCAAGGAAUCAGACAUUACAAAUAUCUAUUUCUGAAGAAAAUUCUCAUGUUUUUUGUGUAGCACAAUCUCUUAUGGUUACAACACUCGGAAACUCUAAAAGAGCUGACGUAGCUCGAGAAGUUACUAUUUUUAGUUACGUUGGGGCCAUCAUACAUGCCAUUGAUAAAGGUUCAAAGCUGAAACUCAUUGAAGGUGCAGACGUUGACAUUCUGUGUGACGCUAUUGGAAGACCUGUACCAGAUGUAUGGUGGACUAAAACAGGAAACAAAAGUUUCAGCUUUUUUGGUAAAAGGCUCAUAGGAUACGAUAUUGACAAGCAUUUUGCAGGGACUUACGUUUGCCACGCAGGAAACAAUAUCACAUCAGUGGAUAAAACAGUCAUUGAAACUUACACCACAAAGUUAAUUCACGUUAAAGUUACCGAAUCUUCGGUUUCUAUAUUGGCAUGUUCGUCUGUAGAAUGUGCAGGAUACUAUGAACAAGAUUUGCCUACAGACAAUACCACCAAUGGUAAAACAGACUUAACGUUAGAUGAUACAAUUAACCCUGACGAGAAAAGAUAAAGAAUUGGUUUUAAUAAUAACUGAUGUAAUAGGAUGGACAGCCUUAGCAAUUAGCAUUAUCAUAAAUAUUUGGUUUUGCAAGGUCAAUAAGAGGAACACUGAAAAGCUUUCGACAAUUAAGAUUCAAACUGAGCAACCAUCGGAAAUGUCCGCAUACUCGUACGCUCGAAGUUUGCCGGAAAGGCCAUCAUCUUAUAUUACAGAGGUCAGACUUCCGGAACACACAUAUUUGGAACUAAACAGUGGUGAUAUGAUAAAUUCUGGACAGAAUGACAGCUUUGAUAUAAAUCUCACUAGAUCUUAUCCGUCAGUUUCGUCAGACUCGUCUUACUUGGAACCGAUAUACACAUCUUCCCACCCAAGCAAUUAGUUUUCUUCAAAAGGCGGAAUGUAAAUUAGUAUCAUAACUUUUCGAAUGAAAUCAAAUUUCAACAAAGUCAUUUUUUAAUCAGAGAAAAAUUAUCUUUAUAUGAAUCAUUCGUUUGCAGCGGAUGGAUCAGAAGUUUGAAAAACAUGUUUACAUGUAUCAAAAAAUUGUUUAAUCAAACAUUACUACUCCAAAAGCAAUUAUGUUUAAGUGAUUAAAUAUCAUAUUCGUGUCAUUGUAUCACAAAUAGCUUAUCCGGACCUUUUUAUAUUUCGUUGUAUAAAUGUUAUCUGCUUGCAAGUUGGACAUUUCUUGUGAUUCCUAUUUGUACAUUCAUUCUACGCCAUUUCUGACUAAAUGUGUACAUACCGGUAUUGAUACGCAGCUGAAAAAAUAAGUGCUAAAAGACAUUCGCUAUAUAGACUUUUUUUCUUUUGUUUUGUAAAUAAUAGUAUGUAAUGUAAGAAUAUAAAGCCUAAAUAUCCCAUAAACAGUUGCCCUCGACUCGAAUAUUCUACGAGUGUAAUUUUUUUUAUAUUCUAUAAUCUACGUUUAAACCAAGAUUAUCCAGUGUAUUUUUGUUUGUUUGUUUUUGUACAGGUAAUAUCCUGAGAUUCCCAGCUUUUUACUGAGAAAGAUUCCAGGUGGCUCUCUGGGCAUUAUUUUAUCACGAGUGAGCACAUGGGUAGAACCAAGUCAGCUGGAACGCUUCGUCAUAUAAAGAAAUCUACACACAAAGCGAAUUUUAGAACCCACAUACUGACCUUAACCAUUAGAUCACGAAUGCUCCUAUGGUGCUUUUAUUUUUAACUGAGAGUGGUGUGCAUACUCCAGGUGAGAUACGAUACUUCUUAAUCUAAGCAAAUCUAUAUAAUUUUUGUCCUGUUGUUUCAUGUUCUAUUCAGUCCUUUUCUGUUACGAUUUAUACCUCUCAUAUCUUAGUGCCUUAUUCUGUCUGGAAUGUGUUACCAUGAGAAAGCGUGUCUUGUAGAUAUUAACGCUUAACUUGCCUAUCCUAAACUUGCGCAAAUUUAAGAAUAGAUUUGCAUUAAUCUCGCAUGCCAUAACAUGUAUAUUUUAACUUCAAAUAUAUCACAGGUUCUGCUUAAAGUUCCUUGCAAUACAUACUUUCAUUAUCCGUCUUGAAUCAUUGGAAAAAUGUGAAAAAAAAACACGUUGCAUGUAAAGCGCCUUUGAACGUGUUUAUCAUGACAAGGGGACUAUAUAACUCUUGUAGGAGGUAUAUUUAAAGGCCCGUUCAAAAUUUGUACUCAGUGUAUUAUCGAUACUCUCAUAUGUCUUAUAUAAACAAAAGUCUUAUUAUUCACCUUUUCCAAUUGUGCGGGAAAAUGCCGACUUAAAACCUUUUCACAAAUUAAAGCUGGUGAUCAUGAAAAUAUAAAUAACUAUCUUCUGAUAGUUAUUCUAAAUCGCACUUUUGAUAUCAGGAAAGCUCCACAAUGUAUUUUAAAUGUCGUUUUCAAUCAUGUGGCCAAAUAAAAUGUUUAGGUUUGUGAGCUUAAGUUUUCAUAUUUCGCCAAAUAUCGAUUCGAUCUAUCUUGAUAUUAUCUUUUAAUUGACAGGCAAAUUAAUUACUAACAGUGUAAAAUACUAUAUUAUUGAUACAAAAUCCCCCGCCGUUACAUAACUGAAAUACUGUUGAAAAAUGCCAAAUCUCAACUCUAGACAGCUACAACUACUGUAAAUAUGCAUGUAAAAUACCCCCAAAACAGUUAGAUUGUAUUGAUAUUUUCGUCUUUUUUGUUUUGUUGUUGUUGUUGUUGCUGUUAUUGCUGUCGUUGUUGUUUUUUAUCAAUUUUGCAAUGAACGCUUCUUUUUCUAUCAAAAUUAGAUGGUUCCAACAUUGGUAGCAUAAUGCUUUAAAUAGUUGUAAUAUAUUUAUUCAACUGCUUUUGUCUCAAGACCAUCAUGUUAAAGCUCUACUGGAAAUUAAUCGUACUUUUGGACCAUAUAACAUUUAAGCCGCUUUUUAAUUGCUUAAAACACCAAAUUCCUAACAAUUGAUACACGGUUCGAGCGAUCAAACAUAUUGCUUCAGUUUUGCGAUAAAGAUAUUUUCUUCUAAUCACUGUUUGAGACGCAAUCGGCAAUAUAUAUCGCAGCUGGGAAUGAGUCAUUUGAUAUUUACAUAUUGAUAUUCGCUUUACAGUUUAGUCAUACCGGAUUUACCUUUUUUCAUUCAUGUUGAAAAUUGUUUCAUGUCAUUUUGGUUACGCUUUGAAUUACUCAUUUUAAUUUACAUCAUUUCCCGAGAUAGUAGUACAUCUUAUUGUAGUGAAGUGAAAAUUGGUUUUGUUUUGUAAAAAUAAAAAUGAAUAAUGAUGAAAUUAAGAUGGAUACUUGUAUUUAAACAUUUUCAUCUGUUUAACUGAAAUCUUUAUUUUUUGUAAUUUAUAUUUUUAAGCUAUAUUGGUGUUAUAACAAUAAAGGAAUUGCUGUAAUUAUUAUUACGUCUGGUAUAUUCUCUUAACUAUGGACAUGCAUAUACCAACUCAAGCCAUAUAGAACCUGUAAUAAAUUACACAUAUAUAUAAUUA
rnacentral:lncRNA from 1 species